AUUCCGGUUGAUCCUGCCGGAGGACAUUGCUAUUGGGAUUCGAUUUAGCCAUGCUAGUCGAGUGAGUUCAGACUCGCGGCGAAUAGCUCAGUAACACGUGGCCAAGCUCCCCUUCAGUCAGCGAUACCCUCGGGAAACUGAGGUUAACAGCUGAUACAAAACGCCAGCUGGAAUGCGGCGUUUCAGAAAGACAUCGCUGAAGGAUGCGGCUGCGGCCGAUUAGGUAGACGGUGGGGUAACGGCCCACCGUGCCAGUAAUCGGUACGGGUGAUGAGAGUCAGAGCCCGGAGACGGAAUCUGAGACAAGAUUCCGGGCCCUACGGGGCGCAGCAGGCGCGAAACCUUUACACUGCACGGAAGUGCGAUAGGGGAAUCCCAAGUGCGAGGGCAUAUUAGCCCUCGCUUUUCUCGACUGUAAGGUGGUCGACGAAUAAGAGCUGGGCAAGACCGGUGCCAGCCGCCGCGGUAAUACCGGCAGCUCAAGUGAUGC
rnacentral:rRNA from 1 species